AGAUUGAACGCUGGCGGCAGGCCUAACACAUGCAAGUCGAGCGGUAGAGAGGUGGCUUGCCACCGUCGUUGAGAGCGGCGGGACGGGUGAAGUAAGCCUAGGAAUCUGCCUGGUAGUGGGGGAUAACGCUCGGAAACGGACGCUAAUACCGCAUACGUCCUACGGGAGAAAGCAGGGGACCUUCGGGCCUUGCGCUAUCAGAUGAGCCUAGGUCGGAUUAGCUAGUUGGUGAGGUAAUGGCUCACCAAGGCGACGAUCCGUAACUGGUCUGAGAGGAUGAUCAGUCACACUGGAACUGAGACACGGUCCAGACUCCUACGGGAGCAGCAGUGGGAAUAUUGGACAAUGGGCGAAAGCCUGAUCCAGCCAUGCCGCGUGUGUGAAGAAGGUCUUCGGAUUAGUAAAGCUAACGUUUUAAGGUUGGGAAGGAAGGGCUAAGUUAACCUAAUACGUUAGUUGUUUAGUACGUACGUACAGAAUAAGUACACGACUACUACUGUG
rnacentral:rRNA from 1 species